AGCUCCACUAGCGUAUAUUAAUGUUGUUGCAGUUAAAAAGCUCGUAGUUGGAUUCCUGGCGCGGGGCAGCCGGUCCGCCUCGCAAGGGGUGCGUUACUGUGCGGCCUCGGCCAUUUUUGGACAGAGCAGUCCUGGCAUUCAGUUGUCGGGGCUGGGAUGUCCGACGUUUACUGUGAAAAAAUCAGAGUGUUCAAAGCAGGCUUACGCCUUGAAUACAUUAGCAUGGAAUAAUGAGAUAGGACCUUGGCGGUCUAUUUUGUUGGUUUGCACGCCAAGGUAAUGAUUAACAGGGACGGUUGGGGUUCUUCGUAUUCAAUUGUCAGAGGUGAAAUUCUUGGAUUUAUGGAAGACGAACUGCUGCGAAAGCGUCGAACAAGGACGUUCUCAUUAAUCAAGAACG
rnacentral:rRNA from 1 species